rnacentral:misc_RNA from 1 species
UUUCCGUAGGUGAACCUGCGGAAGGAUCAUUAAAAAUGAAGCCGGGAAACCGGUCCUUCUCACCCUUGAUUAUCUCAAUUUGUUGCUUUGGUGGGCCGCGCAAGCACCGGCUUCGGCUGGAUCGUGCCCGCAGAGGACCACAACUCUGUAUUAUAUGUCGUCUGAGUACUAUAAAAUAGUUAAAACUUUCAACAACGGAUCUCUUGGUUCUG